rnacentral:rRNA from 1 species
UACGUAGGUGCGAGCGUUGUCCGGAAUUAUUGGGCGUAAAGAGCUUGUAGGCGGUUUGUCGCGUCUGACUGUGAAAUUCCAGGCUUAACCCUGGGCUUGCAGUGGGUACGGGGCAGACUAGAGUGUGGGUAGGGGAGACUGGAAUUCCUGGUGUAGCGGUGAAAUGCGCAGAUAUCAGGAGGAACACCGAUGGCGAAGGCAGGUCUCUGGGCCACUACUGACGCUGAGAAGCGAAAGCAUGGGGGAGCGAACAGG